rnacentral:rRNA from 1 species
UACGAGGGAUGCAAGCGUUAUCCGGAAUUAUUGGGCGUAAAGAGUUUGUAGGCGGUCAAGUGUGUUUAAUGUUAAAUGUUAAAGCUUAACUUUGAAACUGCGUUAAAAACUGCUUGUCUUGAGUAUGGUAGGGGUAAAGGGAAUUCCCAGUGUAAGGCGGUUGAAAUGCGUAGAUAUUGGGAAGAACACUAAACAGCGAAGGGCACUUUA